UUCGCCUGUUUUACAAAAACAUGUCCUUUAGAAUUAAAUUUUAGGUCUGCCCUGCCCAUUGAUUAAAUUAAAAGGCCGCAGUAUCUUAACUGUGCAAAGGUAGCAUAAUCAUUAGUUUUUUAAUUGGAAACUGGUAUGAAGGGUUGGACGAGGCACUAACUGUUUCUUUUAAAUUAAUUAGAAUUUUAUUUUUUAGUUAAAAAGCUAAAAUUAAAUUUAAAGACGAGAAGACCCUAUAGAUCUUUAUAAUUAUUUAAUUUUUGUUAUGAGGAUUAAUUAAAUGAUAAUUAAUUAUAUUAUUUUGUUGGGGUGACAUAAAGAUUUAUUUAACUCUUUAAUUUUUUUUACAUUGAUAUAUGAUAUAUUUGAUCCUUUAUUAGAGAUUAAUAAAUUAAGUUACCUUAGGGAUAACAGCGUAAUUUUUUUGGAGAGUUCUUAUCGAUAAAAGAGAUUGCGACCUCGAUGUUGGAUUAAGAGAUAUAUCCUAGGUGCAGAAGCUAGAAAAAUUAGUCCGGUCCACUA
rnacentral:rRNA from 1 species